CAGUCGCCACGGUAAUACGGAGGGUGCAAGCGUUAAUCGGAAUUACUGGGCGUAAAGCGCACGCAGGCGGUCUGACAAGUCAGACGUGAAAUCCCCGGGCUUAACCUGGGAACUGCAUUUGAAACUGUCAGGCUGGAGUCUUGUAGAGGGGGGUGGAAUUCCAGGUGUAGCGGUGAAAUGCGUAGAGAUCUGGAGGAAUACCGGUGGCGAAGGCGGCCCCCUGGACAAAGACUGACGCUCAGGUGCGAAAGCGUGGGGAGCAAACAGGAUUAGAUACCCGGGUAGUCCCUGUCUCUUAUAC
rnacentral:rRNA from 1 species